rnacentral:tRNA from 1 species
AGUUCCCAGUUAGUAUAGUGGUUAGUAUCCGCGCCUGUCACGUGCGAGACCCGGGUUCGAUUCCCGGACUGGGAGGAAUA